AUUGAACGCUGGCGGCAGGCCUAACACAUGCAAGUCGAACGAGUGGCGGACGGGUGAGUAAUGUCUGGGAAACUGCCCGAUGGAGGGGGAUAACCACUGGAAACGGUAGCUAAUCCCGCAUACCAUCGGAUGUGCCCAGCUAGGAGUAGCUAGUAGUUGGGGUAACGGCGCACCAAGGCGACGAACCCUAGCUGGUCUGAGAGGAUGACCAGCCACAUUGGAACUGAGACACGGUCCAGACACAUACGGGAGGUAACAGUGGGGAAUAUUGCACAAUGGGAGCAAGCCUGAUUCAGACAUGCCGCGUGUAUGAAGAAGGCAUUCGGGGUGUAAAGUACUUUCAGCUGGGAGGCGUUACCAGCAGAAGAAGCACAGGCUAACUCCGUGCCAGCAGCCGCGGUAAUAC
rnacentral:rRNA from 1 species